GGGGAAGGUAAAAAUCGUAACAAGGUUUCCGUAGGUGAACCUGCGGAAGGAUCAUUGUCGAUGCCUUACAUGCAGACCAACACGUGAAUCAGUUUGAACACAUAGGGUUGGUUUGAGGUGUUCAACACCUCGGCUUGCCUCUGGUUCGGAGGAGGACGAUGUUGUGCGUUCUCCUUUGUGCCAAAACACAAACCCCGGCGCUGAAUGCGUCAAGGAAUUUAAAAUUUGCUCUGAGCGCACCUGCAUGGCACCGGAGACGGUUUUCGUGCGGGUUGUGUUCUGACACAUAAUAUAGAAUGACUCUCGGCAACGGAUAUCUAGGCUCUUGCAUCGAUGAAGAACGUAGCGAAAUGCGAUACUUGGUGUGAAUUGCAGAAUCCCGUGAACCAUCGAGUCUUUGAACGCAAGUUGCGCCCGAUGCCAUUAGGUUGAGGGCACGUCUGCCUGGGCGUCACAUAUCGAAGCCUCUCGCCAAUUUCCUAUAUUGAUAGGGGUAUUGUGCAGGGCGAAUGUUGGCCUCCCGUGAGCUUUAUUGCCUCAUGGUUGGUUGAAAAUCGAGACCUUGGUAGGGUGUGCCAUGAUAGGUGGUGGCUGUGUUACGCACGAGACCAAGUAAGUCAUGUGCUGCUCUAUUGAAUUUAGGCCUCUUUUACCCACAUGCGUUUCGAAACGCUCGUGAUGAGACCUCAGGUCAGGCGGGGCUACCCGCUGAAUUUAAGCAUAUCAAUAGACCGGAGGGAAAUAG
rnacentral:rRNA from 1 species